rnacentral:rRNA from 1 species
UACGGGGGGAGCAAGCGUUGUUCGGAUUUACUGGGCGUAAAGGGCGCGUAGGCGGCCACCGCAAGUCGGUUGUGAAAUCUCUGGGCUUAACCCAGAAAGGUCAACCGAUACUGCGGGGCUAGAGUGCAGAAGGGGCAACUGGAAUUCUCGGUGUAGCGGUGAAAUGCGUAGAUAUCGCUUGGAACGCCGAAGGUGAAAACAGGCUGCUGGGGUUGCGCCGACGCUGAGACACGAAAGCCAGGGGAGCAAACGGG